UGUUUUACUACCCUAGAUUUCACACAUAAAUGUGCUCAUCAGUAAGCUUGCAUAAAUAUUCAUCCGAAGAAACAUAAGAGUAUAAGAAGGGUAGAUAAGUUAGUGUCUGAACAAUUCGUCCCUUUCCGUGCCAUUUACAGACAGCAUUUGACAGACCAGGAUCCAGCUCUCUGCCAUUAAGCUCUCCCAGUCUGCUACCAAAUAUUUGCUAGUGGUUUGUAUCCUAAUGUUGUGGAGGAGGAGAUCAAGGCAAAUAUUUUUCUCAGUUUGGGAAACUUGUCUAUGCUAAGAUUCUUUUGGGUUAAGGAUGUUGUUUUGUUCAAUUUGGAACUCGCCCAUGCUGUGCUUCUGUUGAAGAAACAAAUAAAGAGGUCGCAUGGAACUAUUAUUGGUCAACAAAUAGUUCACCUUUUAUGGAGUAGAAGCUCAACAACUGAUGAGUUCAUGAGAAUCAAGAUUUACACAUCUACGGUUGUGCAGAGAUGGAGAAGCCAUUGAUUCCAAUCUCAUUGUAGAAUAUGGAGACUUUGAUUGAUGAUUUCUAAUUCCAAUCUGAAGCUUCUACCCACUGUCAAGGCUUCCACGGCCAAUGACAGUGCAAUACAGAACGUCUUCUCCUCCACCCCUGUUACUGGUUUUUGACCUGUAUUGUUGUAGAAAAGCAGUACAGAAUGUCUUCUCCUUCUUAGCUGCUGAGACAUGUAGACACCAAGACCUCUUCUGAGAAUCUUUUAGGCCUCAUACUGGUGAACGCCAACGACAUUUAUGGGAUAUGUUUUUUUUGCUUCUUUUGAAGAAACUCUGUUUUUUAUUGUUUCUUUUUGCUAAUUUCAAGCAAAUAUUGUCUAUGCAUACAGUUGUGGCAUCUUCUUUCAGUUAUCGUUAUACUAUUGCAGUCUUCAUUCUGAAUGUUCAAUUAAAUGGAAUGUUCAAUUGCUGC